CCUACGGUGUUGCAGCAGUGGGGAAUAUUGGACAAUGGGCGAAAGCCUGAUCCAGCCAUGCCGCGUGUGUGAAGAAGGCCUUCGGGUUGUAAAGCACUUUCAGUGGGGAAGAAAGCCUUGGGGCUAAUACCCUCGAGGAAGGACAUCACCCACAGAAGAAGCACCGGCUAACUCCGUGCCAGCAGCCGCGGUAAUACGGAGGGUGCGAGCGUUAAUCGGAAUUACUGGGCGUAAAGCGCGCGUAGGCGGUCUGAUAAGCCGGUUGUGAAAGCCCCGGGCUCAACCUGGGAACGGCAUCCGGACCUGUCAGGCUAGAGUGCAGGAGAGGAAGGUAGAAUACCCGGUGUAGCGGUGAAAUGCGUAGAGAUCGGGAGGAAUACCAGUGGCGAAGGCGGCCUUCUGGACUGACACUGACGCUGAGGUGCGAAAGCGUGGGUAGCAAACAGGAUUAGAUACCCGAGUAGUC
rnacentral:rRNA from 1 species